rnacentral:rRNA from 1 species
AUUGAACGCUGGCGGCAGGCCUAACACAUGCGAGUCGAGCGGGGUUUUCGGACCUAGCGGCGGACGGGUGAGUAAUGCGUAGGAAGCUACCCGAUAGAGGGGGAUACCAGUUGGAAACGACUGUUAAUACCGCAUAAUGUCUACGGACCAAAGUGUGGGACCUUCGGGCCACAUGCUAUCGGAUGCGCCUACGUGGGAUUAGCUAGUUGGUGAGGUAAUGGCUCACCAAGGCGACGAUCCCUAGCUGGUUUGAGAGGAUGAUCAGCCACACUGGAACUGAGACACGGUCCAGACUCCUACGGGAGGCAGCAGUGGGGAAUAUUGGACAAUGGGCGCAAGCCUGAUCCAGCCAUGCCGCGUGUGUGAAGAAGGCCUUCGGGUUGUAAAGCACUUUCAGCGAGGAGGAAGGGGUGAGUGUUAAUAGUACUCAUCUUUGACGUUACUCGCAGAAGAAGCACCGGCUAACUCUGUGCCAGCCGCCGCCGUAACAC